rnacentral:rRNA from 1 species
UACAUAGGUCUCAAGCGUUAUCCGGAUUUACUGGGCGUAAAGCGUGCGUAGGUGUCCUUUUAAGUCUUUGGUGAAAUCUCCGGGCUCAACUCGGAAACUGUCAGAGAUACUGGAAGGAUCGAGUGUGGUAGAGGCAGAUGGAAUUGAUGGUGUAGCGGUAAAAUGCGUAGAUAUCAUCAAGAACACCCAUGGCGAAGGCAGUCUGCUGGGCCAUUACUGACACUGAGGCACGAAAGCGUGGGGAGCGAACGGG